rnacentral:lncRNA from 1 species
CACAUGUCGGAUCAAGACACAUAAAAAAUUUUACAUUCAUUAAUUUGGAAAGAAAUACAUUAAGGAAAGAAGGAAAAGACCCAUAUUGGGUCAUUACAGUUCAAAAAGACCGAUACUGGGUUGAUACAUCAAAAGAAGAAGAAGAAAGCAACAGAUCACAGGAUAACAACAAGAGCCUCAGAGUUCUUUGGAGCUGACUCUUCUUUGACUCGCUCCGGCCC